AGAUUGAACGCUGGCGGCAUGCCUAACACAUGCAAGUCGAGCGGCAGCGCGGGGGCGACCCUGGCGGCGAGCGGCGGACGGGUGAGUAAGGCAUCGGAAUCUGCCCUGAUGUGGGGGAUAGCCCGGAGAAAUCCGGAUUAAAUACCCGCAUAUGCCCUACGGGGUAAAGCGGGGGAUCGUAAGACCUCGCGCUGGUGGAUGAGCCUACGUCCGAUUAGUUAGCUGGUGGGGUAAAGGCCUACCAAGGCGACGAUCGGUAGCUGGUCUGAGAGGAUGAUCAGCCACACUGGGACUGAGACACGGCCCAGACUCCUACGGGAGGCAGC
rnacentral:rRNA from 1 species